rnacentral:rRNA from 1 species
CCUACGGGAGGCAGCAGUGAGGAAUAUUGGACAAUGGGCGCAAGCCUGAUCCAGCCAUGCCGCGUGCAGGAAGAAGCAUCUAUGGUGUGUAAACUGCUUUUGUACAGGAAGAAACACUCCCUCGUGAGGGAGCUUGACGGUACUGUAAGAAUAAGGACCGGCUAACUCCGUGCCAGCAGCCGCGGUAAUACGGAGGGUCCAAGCGUUAUCCGGAAUCAUUGGGUUUAAAGGGUCCGUAGGCGGUUUAAUAAGUCAGUGGUGAAAUCUGGUCGCUCAACGAUCAAACGGCCAUUGAUACUGUUAGACUUGAAUUAUAAGGAAGUAACUAGAAUAUGUAGUGUAGCGGUGAGAUGCUUAGAUAUUACAUGGAAUACCAAUUGCGAAGGCAGGUUACUACUUAUGGAUUGACGCUGAUGGACGAAAGCGUGGGGAGCGAACAGGAUUAGAUACCCUGGUAGUCCACGCCGUAAACGAUGGAUACUAGCUGUUCGGAGCAAUCUGAGUGNGUAGAGAAGAGAUAAGUAUACCACCGUCGGUAGGUACGUUCGUCGAGAAGAGAACGACGAAGAAGUAGUACGGACGUAGAGAGUAGACGACGGACGACGACGAGGGAGGAGG